GGAUUGUGGCUUAGCGGUAGAGUGCUCGCCUGGCAUGUGCAAGGCCCUGGGUUCAAUCCUCAGAACCA
rnacentral:tRNA from 1 species